GAAAAGAAAAAAGGAAACGGAAACGCAGUAGAAGCAGAUCAUCAUCCAUUUCAUCCACAUCAUCUUCUAGUGCUACAUCCAGUUCUUCUUCCUCAUCACGUUCAUCAUCAAGAUCGUCUUCCUCAAGUAGCAGAGAUUCUCCUAAGUCUAAAUCAAAGAAAAAGAAAAAAGAAAAACACAACAAAAAGAAAAGGAAAAAAGACAACAAAAUGAAGAAAAAGAAAGAAAAGAAGAAAAAGAGAGAGAAACCAGGACCUGUCCAGCUUUCCAAGUUCUUUAAGAAUAAAAAGAAGAAUGAAAACUACAGCAUGAUAACCGGAAAGAAAAUUAAGAUGAAAAUUAAGAAGACUAAGAAGGAUAAAGAGAGAGAUCGUAACCGUGCAGAACUUCUUGAAUUUCUGAACUCUGCUUUAUAAUGGGAAGAGUGCUAACCAAGGACUUGUAAAUAUACCAAACAAAUGAUCAUCAUGCCUAGCAAGACACUAAAGGGAAACUCAGGGAUAAGGACGCCAUGUUUGACAAGACCAGACUCUCCUGCUGUGAAGACAAUCGGGAUGUCCUUUUUUAAUGGCAAAACAAAGAGUAACUGAUAACUUGUUAAUGAAGAUCCAUGUCCUCCUUUUGAGAUCCUAAGGUAAUAGCCAGGCUGUGAUGUUUUAGAAGAACCUAAGAGUGUGUCAUUGACAAUGAUAAGAACUGACACACUGAAGUACAAUAAUGUAAUUUCUAUCCUAACUGCAUGCAGAACAGACUCUUAAUUUCAAAUGUCAUAAUGUUUCUAGUAGUUUAAACAAAGCAGAGUAUUUGUAAAUGUCUAUUUGAAAGACAAGGCGUUUCUAUAUGAGUAUUUUUUCCAGUAGUGGUUUUACUUGUCCUAAAGAGCAAGAUGACCUUUGUAAAUAGAACAUGCUUUUACAUAAAUGAUUUUUUGACAGUUCACUCAUUAAUAUAUUAUUUUCUUUCA